AACGAACGCUGGCGGCAUGCCUAACACAUGCAAGUCGAACGAGACCUUCGGGUCUAGUGGCGCACGGGUGCGUAACGCGUGGGAACCUGCCCUUAGGUUCGGAAUAACUCCCCGAAAGGGGUGCUAAUACCGGAGAAUGUCUUCGGACCAAAGGUUUAUCGCCUUUGGAUGGGCCUGCGUUGGAUUAGCUAGUUGGUAGGGUAAAAGCCUACCAAGGCGACGAUCCAUAGCUGGUCUGAGAGGAUGAUCAGCCACACUGGGACUGAGACACGGCCCAGACUCCUACGGGAGGGAGGAGUGGGGAAUAUUGGACAAUGGGCGAAAGCCUGAUCCAGCAAUGCCGCGUGAGUGAUGAAGGCCUUAGGGUUGUAAAGCUCUUUUACCCGGGAUGAUAAUGACAGUACCGGGAGAAUAAGCUCCGGCUAACUCCGUG
rnacentral:rRNA from 1 species